GCUCAAUCCUUGGCUGUGGCUUUGAAGUUAUCAAUAUUUAUACUGCAUGAGAGAGGCAUCACUGGAGAUAUGCAAGAGUGCUGCCAAGAUAUGCAAAGUGAUCAACACUCUUUAGUUCUCUACCAUCUACAACGAGGAUGUUUGGCUCAGUGGGAGUGGUUGAUGGGGCCAGCUGGAAGAGGACUGCAGUUUUUUCCAGGCUGAUGCCUUUGCUGCCCAGUGGUGCACCAGAAUCUCAGCUUCCAUUUAAAAAUAAAAGGAUGGGUGAAAUCCAUAUUUGAGAGACUCCCCUUGAUUUCAAUAACACUAGGAUUUCACCCUAUGUUUCUAGCCUCCUGGUUGUGAAGAAAACCAUGACAAUGCAACUGGAGUGUAAACCAGCGCAGUACUGUCGAAGUGAGUCCGCAGACAGCACACAACAACUGCUGUGUGCAGUGUGAUCCAUCCCCGUUCAGCCCUGUGGGGUGCUGACUCAGUGUUGCUAACAAAACAAUCGAUUAAAAAUAGAAUAUAGUUGAGAAAAUCCAGAUGUUGUGGCAGAUCUGAGACAUUUUGGUGUUCCUGGGGAUUUUUCUCAUCUUCAGCAUUGCAUGUGGGAAUGAGUGUAUUUUGCAUUUGUGUGUGUGUGUGCGGGUGUGUGUGCGGACAGUUUAAAUAACAUUGUUAACUAUUUCACUACUGAUUGUUUUAAGUAGAAAUGUCCAACUACUGUUCUUAUCCCAUUGUGCUUAUCCUACUGUGAUCUCACCCAGCUACCAACCCCCGCAACCACUUCCAUGGUGCAGUAAUGAAUUGUCGUAGCUAAAGGCUGCAGGGUCUUGAAAAUACAAAAUAUGA